UCCGAGUUGACCCCGGCAGUCUCCCAUGAGUCCCCGGCAUAACCCGCUGGCAACAUGGAACGAGGGUUGCGCUCGUUGCGGGACUUAACCCAACAUCUCACGACACGAGCUGACGACAGCCAUGCACCACCUGUACACCGACUCAAAGAGCGACCGUAUCUCUACGGCUUUCCGGCAUAUGUCAAGCCUUGGUAAGGUUCUUCGCGUUGCGUCGAAUUAAGCCACAUGCUCCGCCGCUUGCGCGGGCCCCCGUCAAUUCCUUUGAGUUUUAGCCUUGCGGCCGUACUCCCCAGGCGGGGAACUUAAUGCGUUAGCUGCGGCACGGACCACGUGGAAUGUGACCCACACCUAGCGCCCAACGUUUACAGCGUGGACUAC
rnacentral:misc_RNA from 1 species